rnacentral:rRNA from 1 species
GAUGAACGCUAGCUACAGGCUUAACACAUGCAAGUCGAGGGGAAACGACAUCGAAAGCUUGCUUUUGAUGGGCGUCGACCGGCGCACGGGUGAGUAACGCGUAUCCAACCUGCCCACCACUUGGGGAUAACCUUGCGAAAGUAAGACUAAUACCCAAUGACGUCUCUAGAAGACAUCUGAAAGGGAUUAAAGAUUUAUCGGUGAUGGAUGGGGAUGCGUCUGAUUAGCUUGUUGGCGGGGUAACGGCCCACCAAGGCGACGAUCAGUAGGGGUUCUGAGAGGAAGGUCCCCCACAUUGGAACUGAGACACGGUCCAAACUCCUACGGGAGGCAGCAGUGAGGAAUAUUGGUCAAUGGACGAGAGUCUGAACCAGCCAAGUAGCGUGCAGGAUGACGGCCCUAUGGGUUGUAAACUGCUUUUAUAGGGGGAUAAAGUGUGCCACGUGUGGCAUAUUGCAGGUACCCUAUGAAUAAGGACCGGCUAAUUCCGUGCCAGCAGCCGCGGUAAUACGGAAGGUCCAGGCGUUAUCCGGAUUUAUUGGGUUUAAAGGGAGCGUAGGCCGUUUGGUAAGCGUGUUGUGAAAUGUCGGGGCUCAACCUGGGCAUUGCAGCGCGAACUGCCAGACUUGAGUGCGCAGGAAGUAGGCGGAAUUCGUCGUGUAGCGGUGAAAUGCUUAGAUAUGACGAAGAACUCCGAUUGCGAAGGCAGCCUGCUGUAGCGCAACUGACGCUGAAGCUCGAAAGCGUGGGUAUCGAACAGGAUUAGAUACCCUGGUAGUCCACGCGGUAAACGAUGGAUGCUCGCUGUUUGCGUCUGACGUAAGCGGCCAAGCGAAAGCGUUAAGCAUCCCACCUGGGGAGUACGCCGGCAACGGUGAAACUCAAAGGAAUUGACGG